AAAAGCGAAUAAAGAGCGUAUGGUGGAUGCCUUGGCUCUGAGAGGCGAGGAAGGACGUGAUAAGCUGCGAUAAGCUGCGGGGAUUGGCACAUACAAAUUAAUCCGCAGAUUUCCGAAUGGGGGAACCUAUCAUAAAAUUUAUGAUAUUACUUUAUUAAGUAAAGCAAACCUAGAGAACUGAAACAUCUAAGUAUCUAGAGGAAGAGAAAACAAUAGUGAUUCUGUUAGUAGUGGCGAGCGAAAGCGGAACAGCCCAAACCAUUAUAGUCUAGGCUAUAAUGGGGUUAUAGGUCUACAAUAAAAAUUAUUUUUCUAUAGUAGAAUAUUUUGGAAAAAAUAAUCAUAGAAGGUGAUAAUCCUGUAUGCGAAAUGGGAAAAUAUAAUAAGUAGUAACCUGAAUAGGACGGGACACGGGAAAUCUUGUCUGAAUUUGCCGGGACCAUCCGGUAAGGCUAAAUACUACUCAGAGACCGAUAGUGAACUAGUACCGUGAGGGAAAGGUGAAAAGUACUUCGAAUAGAAGAGUGAAAUAGAUCCUGAAACCAUACGCUUACAAACUGUCGAAGCUUUUUUAUAAAGUGACGACGUGCCUUUUGCAUAAUGAACCUACGAGUUAAUUUUUCCGGCAAGGUUAAGUAGUUCAGCUAUGGAGCCGUAGCGAAAGCAAGUCUGAAUAGGGCGUAUAGUCGGAGGAAUUAGACGCGAAACCGAGUGAUCUAUCUAUGGGCAGGUUGAAGCUGUGGUAACACAUAGUGGAGGACCGAACCGGUUGACGUUGAAAAGUCUUCGGAUGACCUGUGGAUAGGGGUGAAAGGCCAAUCAAACUCGGAGAUAGCUCGUACUCCCCGAAAUGCAUUUAGGUGCAGCAUCGUGUUAAGUAAUACAGAGGUAGAGCUACUGAUUGGAUGAAGGGGUUUCAUCACCUACUAAUUCCUGACAAACUCCGAAUGCUGUUAUUAUGUUUCACGGUAGUGAGGGCAUGGGUGCUAAGGUCCAUGUCCAAGAGGGAAACAACCCAGAUCAUCAGUUAAGGCCCCUAAGUAUAUAUUAAGUUGAAAAAACGAAGUUCAGUUACUAAGACAGCUAGGAUGUUAGCUUGGAAGCAGCUAUUCAUUUAAAGAGUGCGUAACAGCUCACUAGUCAAGUGAUUGAGCAUGGAUAAUAAUCGGGCAUAAAAUAUAUCGCCGAAACUAUGAGAUUGAUUUAAUCUUAUGAAUCAAUCGGUAGGGGAGCAUUGUAAUAGCGCAGAAGUUAUAUUGUGAAAUAUAGUGGAGCUUUUACAAAAGAAAAUGUAGGUAUAAGUAACGAUAAUGCGGAUGAGAAAACCGCACACCGAAAAACUAAGGAUUCCUCAGCUAUGUUAAUCAGCUGAGGGUUAGUCGGGCCCUAAGAUGAAAUCGAAAGGUGUAAUCGAUGGAAAACCGGUUAAUAUUCCGGUACUUGCUUUUAUUGCGAUAGGGGGGACGAAGUAAUGAAACUGUCGCGUACGGACGGAUGUGUACGUUAAAGUAAUUAGGUAUAAAAUAUAAUUGGAAAAUCCGUAUAUUUUGCUGAUUUACGAUAGUACCAUGAACCUUCGGGUAAGUGGAUAGUGCAGGUAAAGGCUUCCAAGAAAAGCCUCUAAGCUUCAGAUAAAAGUAAUCCGUACCAAAACCGACACAGGUAGUUGAGGAGAGAAUCCUAAGGUGCUCGAGUGAUUCACGGCUAAGGAACUAGGCAAAAUGAACCUGUAACUUCGGGAGAAAGGUUGCCUUCUUUUCUUUUAAAGAAGGCCGCAGAAAAGAGAUCCAGGCGACUGUUUAUCAAAAACAUAGGACUCUGCUAAAUUGAAAAAUGAUGUAUAGGGUCUGACACCUGCCCAGUACUGGAAGGUUAAAGAAAAAGGUUAGCUUCGGCAAAGCUUUUAACUGAAGCCCCAGUAAACGGCGGCCGUAACUAUAACGGUCCUAAGGUAGCGAAAUUCCUUGUCGGGUAAGUUCCGACCUGCACGAAUGGUGUAACGAUCUGGAAACUGUCUCAGCCGUGAGCUCGGUGAAAUUGUAAUAUCGGUGAAGAUGCCGAUUACUCGCAAUGGGACGAAAAGACCCUGUGAACCUUUACUAUAGCUUCGUAUUGAUUUCGGUUAAAAAAUGUGUAGGAUAGGUGGGAAACUUUGAAGCAUUAUCGCUAGAUAAUGUGGAGUUGACCUUGAAAUACCACCCUUUUUUUAGUUGAAAUCUAACUCAAUUAAAAAAAUUGAGGACAUUGCGUGGUGGGUAGUUUGACUGGGGUGGUCGCCUCCAAAAAGGUAACGGAGGCUCCCAAAGGUACCCUCAACACGUUUGGUAAUCGUGUGUAGAGUGUAAUGGCAUAAGGGUGCUUGACUGUGAGACCUACAAGUCGAUCAGGUACGAAAGUAGGGCAUAGUGAUCCGGUGGUUCCGUAUGGAAGGGCCAUCGCUCAAAGGAUAAAAGGUACUCCGGGGAUAACAGGCUAGUCUCCCCCAAGAGCUCACAUCGACGGGGAGGUUCGGCACCUCGAUGUCGGCUCGUCACAUCCUGGGGCUGAAGAAGGUCCCAAGGGUUGGGCUGUUCGCCCAUUAAAGUGGCACGCGAGCUGGGUUCAGAACGUCGUGAGACAGUUCGGUCUCUAUCUAUUGCGAGCGUUAGAAGCUUGAGUGGACCUGAUUCUAGUACGAGAGGACCGAAUUGGACGAACCUCUGGUGUAUCAGUUGUAUCGCCAGGUGCAUCGCUGAGUAGCUACGUUCGGAAGAGAUAAGCACUGAAAGCAUAUAAGUGCGAAACUCACCACAAGAUUAGGCUUCUUUUAAGGGUCGUUGAAGAUGACAACGUUGAUAGGCUACAAGUGUAAAGGUAGUAAUAUCAUAGCUGAGUAGUACUAAUUACCCGUAAGCUUUUACUUU
rnacentral:rRNA from 1 species